rnacentral:rRNA from 1 species
ACCUACGGGAGGCAGCAGUGGGGAAUAUUGCGCAAUGGGGGAAACCCUGAUGCAGCAACGCCGCGUGAAGGAAGACGGUUUUCGGAUUGUAAACUUCUGUUCUUAGUGAAGAAGAAUGACGGUAGCUAAGGAGCAAGCCACGGCUAACUACGUGCCAGCAGCCGCGGUAAUACGUAGGUGGCAAGCGUUGUCCGGAAUUACUGGGUGUAAAGGGAGCGUAGACGGCUGUGCAAGUCUGAAGUGAAAUGCCGGGGCCCAACCCCGGAACUGCUUUGGAAACUGGACAGCUAGAGUGCAGGAGGGGG